UACGUAGGGUGCAAGCGUUGUCCGGAAUUAUUGGGCGUAAAGAGCGUGUAGGCGGCCCGAUUAGUCCGCUGUGAAAGUCCAGGGCUCAACCCUGGAAUGCCGGUGGAUACUGUCGGGCUAGAGUCCGGAAGGGGCGAGUGGAAUUCCUGGUGUAGCGGUGAAAUGCGCAGAUAUCAGGAGGAACACCAAUGGCGAAGGCAGCUCGCUGGCCCGGUACUGACGCUGAGGUGCGAAAGCGUGGGGAGCAAACAGG
rnacentral:rRNA from 1 species